CCGCCGCCCCCUUCCCUCGGAGGCCGCCCCCCGCCCGCUCCCCUCACCGGCAGGCGGAACUCGAGGUGCUCCUGCGCCAGCAGCAGCAGUAAUCAGGACCAAAGCUCGGUGCGAAGCUUUCACACCAACAGCUGCCAGCAUCAGUGUGCACUGUAAUCUGAGGAUGAACCUUCCUGGGCAGUUCUUGAGGACAAGGUGAAGCAGCAGAUGGAGAUGUCUCUUGUUCAUCAGUUCAUCUAGGCUCCAGCAGUGCCCACCGUGUUGGAUUGCUGACAAGCCCAUCCCAGAGCACUACUGCCCGCCCCAGAAGAUGAAGACCUGCAUGGUCUAGCAGUGCAUUUCUAAUGAAGAACAUGGCCAAAGCUCUGCGCUUUCCUGCUCUCUGCAUGGGGAUCUGUGCCAAACCUGUAUGCUGCAUAGCACAGUUUAAAAGCGUAUGUGGAUUAACAACUGACAGUGCACAGGAGAACCAUCGCUACGGUUGGUCGUUGGUUCCCGUUUGAGUGCUGCAAACCAAUUCCAGGGAAUGGAGGAGAAUAAGGGGCAGCAUGCUAAAACCAGCGGCGCAGUGAGUGACCUGAGGAGAAGCUGGCAGACCUGGGCAGAGGAUCGGGUCGAGUACCAGAAGAAGAAUCCAUUCAGCAACGAAGACAGGCUUGCAUCUAAACCUCUGCAUGCUCAGAGAGGAGACCCGGCCUACGGGAAGCCCCCUGAAGGGUCUAAAACAGAACAGAGAGGGAAAGAUGCUCACUCACAUGUGGAAAAGGAGGUGGAAGAGCUGUGCCUGAUAAUCAGAAGCACUGGGCAGAAGGGAGAAGAUGGACACGUGAGUGUAACGUUCGGGCAGCUGUUUGAGACAUAUGUGACUAUCUCCAACAAAGUGGUGGGAAUCUUGCUGAGAGCCAGAAAACACGGCCUGGUUCGUUUUGAAGGUGAAAUGCUUUGGCAAGGAAAGGAUGAUGAUGUGGUCAUUACUUUGCUAGAAUGAGACUCUGGCAUCUGAUGAAUUUUGCUGCUUGUUUCCAUUUGGAAAAACCUCUAGAUACUGUCUUGAAAAAGGUUUUCAUUGCAGAAUUUCAGCUCUGCGAAUUAAUGGGACAUUUAAAGGAGAGAAAAUGGGUGUGAAACAUAAAAAAAAAACGGUUUGCAUAAAAAUAAUAAGCUUAUUUUGGACAGAAAUCAAAAAUAAUCAACUAAUCUGUCACAAUACCAAGUAUGCUGUGGUUCUUCAAGCAUCUUCACUGGGUUAGUGCUUUAGGUUCUGAACAUUAAUGACUAAUAACCACCAAACAGCACUGAAUCUUGGAGGUUGUGAAAGACUUGCCGUGGGGAGGGAUUUUUUGAUUUGCAAAACAUGGAAUUGAGCACUUUUAUGGGAAUUCAUAUGCUUCAAACAAGAGUCUCGGCUGUGACUCUAAAAAAAUGGAAGUUAGGUUGACUUUCAUGAAGUAUGUGAAAAUGCCCAAGUUUACAGAAAUAUCACUUGCUUAGUGGCCUAUAAUAUAUACAGCAAGGAUAUUUCAUGUUUCCUAAAUAAGCUGCAUCUUGCUGAAUUUAACGGUCUAUCUUUAGCAUCAUGUCUUCUGCAUCUAGUUCUUUUUCCUCUGUAUAUCAUAUCACUUUCACCUCCUCUUCUAAUGCUGUGUCAUACUAGGGGAGAUCACCAAGCUCUGCAGCUUUUCUGGUGAUCUCCAAAAUACCCUUCACAAAAUGUAGCGUGCCACAACACAAUGACUUGAAAGACAACAGAAAAUACAUUGGGGCAUUCAUGAAAUGAAAAAAUAACAACAAAAAAAGACCUCUUUGACUUCUUUCAGCAAAGUGUAGCAAUGCUGUUUAUAACAAGAGAGUAAAGAUCCUGUAGUGCCAAAUGCCUAAGAAGAAGUGUAGAGCGCAGUCACAUCCCUCAUUUAGUUGAGGCAGAGCUGUGUUGCAAGUUCUCCAAACUGGGAGAAAAAAUGAGCUGCUAGAUAAAAAUGGGAUUGGGAGCUGAGUGGCAAGAAUUUUCCUCAAGGUUCUUGUGGAGGAAUAUUUUUCAGUGUUCAAAGUUGGUUAUCUUCGAUAGUUGUAAUAACAAUACUAAAAAUAAUCAGGAACUGUUUCAAAUUAUUGCCACCAAGAAAAUGUUGGGAAUACAAAAUUGUGGGGUUUUUUUGUUUGUUUUUUAACAGGGCAAAGAAAAGCUCUUAUAUAGUGUAUGUGGUGCUAAGUACAGUACUUGAUGAGUCUUUAAAACAAGAAUAUUCUCUUGCCUCAAAAGGAUACUGAGAUUUAUUAUAAAUUAUGCACUUGAUAGAAGUGAUUAUUUAAUGCUAUUUACAUAAAAUACUUUUUUUUUUCUUUUUUUGCAAAAAACAUAAUAAUGAUUCUUGACUUUUUCAUCUAUUGGGAUUUUGCACGAAAAUAAACCUUCUUACUGAGCAGGUAAAAAUACAAUUUUUUGUUAUCCUUCUGCCUUCUUUUCAUAGUGAAAGGACUAGACAAAUGGAAAAAAACAGAGAUGAAUGUGGUGAAAUAAGUCCAUUUGGAGAACAGGAGAACUGGAUGCAGGUACAGCAUGGAGGGGAAACAAAGGAUGGGCUUUAAUCACCACAUCAUUUCAGCAUGUUGGAAACGGAAAAAUACAUGCUGCACCAGAUACCAGUGGUUUGUGUUCCCUUAGCUGUCAAAACCCCUCCUUUCUAAAAUAAUUUAUAGCUUUAAAACAAGACUUAUAACUUGUCAUCGCAGCGCAUUUAAAACACUUUGUUUUUUGGGGGAAAAGCAUUUCUAGUCAAAUGACAUGAGCACAAGUUAGUGGAUUUCUACUCCCAUUUGAGGAAACCUGGGAGUGCAUUUUGUUAUCAAAGUAAAUCAAAAUUUUAAUAACACAGCUAUGAAAUGUGGUCUGUUUAAUUCUAACAGUUUGUCAGUCCAGUUGAUUCUGUUGUAGCAGUCGUUCAUAACUUGGAGAAGGCAGUGUUGGGCAGUUCAGGUAUCACCAGCUACAGGAUGGCAGCAUCAGGGAAAAUAAUCCAUUACUCUCAAAAGACACACAGUUGAGGCAGUGUGUAACCUGAGCACUCUCAGGGUGCAAGUCUAGCUUGUGCAGACUCACUAAUUUUUAAUUAAGACUGACCCAAGUAGUUAAGCAACAAGAACCAAGGCUUCCACUGCCAUGCAUGUAGUGUCAGACCGUAACAUGGCCUCAGCUGUACUGCUGCUUAGGGUUGGUUUACGUAUCGCUUAAGCACAUCUGUAGAAGCUUUAAGUGUAUCUCUCAGAACAGAUGCUGAGUAAGCCCUAAUCAAAUGGUCUUAUCAACGGUGUGGCUGUCCUAUCUUGAACAAAACAAAGGGUUAUUAUUAAAAACAUAAUUCAUAGGAGGUUUAUAGGGGGUUGGAUUUAAAAAAAAACAAACAGCUGUAGGGCCAAAUUUCCUGUCUGCCAUUGUUAGGUGAACAAUCUCUGAAGGGUGACAAGUCUUUCUGUCUCAUAUGCCCAUGCAAUGGCACCAAAAUCUGCCAAACUGGGUCAGUGCACAUGUUGACAAAUCUAAUUUGCUUUCAGCAAUCACCCAUGUCUCAAAAGAAGUCUUUUAACGCAAUUAUUCUGUUUGUCCACCAAAUACGCUCAAGAAUAAAAAAAUUGAUCUUAAAGCCAGUACAGACAAGAACACACCCUAUCUAAUGGACAUGACUGAAUCCAGCUACUAGUUUUACAAAAUUCUGCUUCUUCAUCUGCAGUGUAGUUUCAGUUAGUAUCUACAGGUGCUUUUUAGUUUUUAGAAGUUUUAUUAUGCAACAGGGCCUCUCUAGAGCAAUAGAAAUCCCCUUUAGUGGAACGGAAUUUAAUAUAUUCACUAAAAAUGAAAUAUGUGCAUUUAAAAUAUUACAAAUUGCUCGUAGUAGUAACUAAGGUUUUCUGUCCUACCACGUAACAUUCAGCUCUUCCAGUCUCUCCUGAAAGUUCACUUUUCUUAUAAUAACCUUAUCUGCUUCCUCUGCAGUCUUUCCUUUGAGUUGAAGCCUGUGAGUUUUGCACCUGGUUUGGACUGUACAUUGUACAGGAAUUAUCUGUAUUUUGUCUUGUCAUCAAAGAAAGCACUUUCAGCACUUCAAUAAAUAUUGCACAGCAAUUGAAAUGACAGCAAGAGUUUUUAUGCAGGUUUUACCACUCAUAUUUACUUCUCAUAUUUGCCAAAUUUCAAAUACGAUCUUUACCAGUUUGCUUACAUUUUCAUGCUUUUGCUUACAACUCAUGAAGACCUCAGAAUACCUACGUCUAUUACCAGUUUAAUCACAUGGAAAAUGCUGUCCUUUGUCAAAACACCUUUUUUUUUUUUUUUUUAAUUCUACAUGCAACAGCAUUGUAUGUGUGUCUACUUCAUCCUUUCAGAAGGAGGCAAUUAGUGCUCUAGCACAGAAGUAUUAUUCUCUGGGCUUGCAUUAGGCAAAACAAUUGAGCAUAAGAGUACAAGCGAAGCUUUGUCAUUCCUAAAUAUGUAGUCAAAAAAGCAGCUUUUCUCAAGACUGCUAAUGCUGGAACAAAGAACAGGGAUAGAGGCUAAGCAACUUUCCUUUGCUUCUCAGUCUUGCCCACUGAAGAUUAAAACUGCUGAGUAAAUUCACUUUCCACAAGGUUUUUUAGCCAUCUCUGCUCACUGCAAAACUCCACAGAAGGUUAGGGAUGUUUUAAAAUGGCACUAUAAUGCUGCUGUUGAAGAGGGUGACAUAAUGAACAGGGUCUGCCCACUGCCUUUUCCAGAGGGUAGCCAACAAUUCUGAAACAUAUUCAAAGCAUUAGAAUAGACUUUUCAGAAAAUAUUUCUUAGCCCAAUUAAAAAAUAUCUGCUGAAUCCAAGAACAAAGCUCGUCAAUACAGGAGGAAAAUGGAGCACAGUUCCAUGCUGGAAAACACUAAUGAGAUGCUAAGCAUUCAUCUCAGUAAUGAAUGUGACUCCAUUUAGGACUUUCUUGUUUGAGCCUGUUUGAGGCUUGUUUGCUAGUGGCAGGGACAAUUUGAAAUUCCUAUAUUGAUUGUCAGCAAAAGUUUUGGAAGCUAGAUUAUAUCCUGAUUUUUAUCUCUCCAGUUUUAUUUUCUUGUCAUUAUUUUGGCCCUCCUCAAACGUAAAAGUCAAUCUUCACAUUUCCUGCUGCAUACAUUUCAGUGUAUUGUGGUCUAGCUUGCAUGGACUUAAUUUUCUUUGUAGCAGCUCAGUGUCGUUUCCUAUUUGUGAUUAAAACAGUGUUAACACAGCAAUCUUCUGACUAUUGCCCAGAGAGACUGUGAAUGUCCCAUCCCUGGAUGCAUUCAAGGCCAGGCUGGACAUGGUUCUGGGCAGCUUGGUCUAGAGGUUGGUGACACU